rnacentral:rRNA from 1 species
AUUAAACGCUGGCGGCAGGCUUAACACAUGCAAGUCGAGCGGGGUGAUGGUGCUUGCACUAUCACUUAGCGGCGGACGGGUGAGUAAUGCUUAGGAAUCUGCCUAUUAGUGGGGGACAACAUCUCGAAAGGGAUGCUAAUACCGCAUACGUCCUACGGGAGAAAGCAGGGGAUCACUUGUGACCUUGCGCUAAUAGAUGAGCCUAAGUCGGAUUAGCUAGUUGGUGGGGUAAAGGCCUACCAAGGCGACGAUCUGUAGCGGGUUUGAGAGGAUGAUCCGCCAGACUGGGACUGAGACACGGCCCAGACUCCUACGGGAGGCAGCAGUGGGGAAUAUUGGACAAUGGGGGGAACCCUGAUCCAGCCAUGCCGCGUGUGUGAAGAAGGCCUUAUGGUUGUAAAGCACUUUAGGCGAGGAGGAGGCUCUGUUGGUUAAUACCCAAGAUGAGUGGACGUUACUCGCAGAAUAAGCACCGGCUAACUCUGUGCCAGCCGCCGCGGUAA